rnacentral:lncRNA from 1 species
GAAACGCACAGCAGUCGCUUUAAUCACAGUGCACCUAGUCCAAACUCCCUGAUCCCAAACCUUCGCCAUUGACGCUAGAGAAGUAAACCCAUUAAUACCCAGGUGACCCAGACUUUGAUUUGGGUUCUGAUUCGCUAAUUGGGUCCCAGAAAAAUUAGGAAGAAAAGAGGGAGAUGAAUGGAGAGAAAUAGGAAAAAAAAGAUGGAGAUGAAGAGGGAGAUGGAUGAAGAGAAAGAGGGAGAGGUGACAUACCCCGACCCAGAGGAUUAAGGCGUGCUGGCCGUCACGCGAGUGUGACGUAACCAUAAGCGCGACACGGAAGCAAAACACUAACAUACAUAAGAAGGAAUUCAAACCAAACUCUAGCAGAACAACCUACUAGAAUAACAGGACGGGUUAUAAAGCAAACAAGUGAAUUCAGAGCAUAGGUUUAAGUGCAGUCAAGCAGGACUAAAAUAAAAUUACAUCACCCUCAGGUGAGUCCUACAUGUCAAGAGUCUGUCAGAAUGCCGGAGAAGAGACCUCGAGAGCCACCAACUGCUAACUAGAACCUGGAGGGGCGCAAAACAAAAUGAGUGGGUCAGUAAAACUAAAGAUUUUCCAAAACAUUUCAUUAAAAACACUUCUAACCCCUCACCGUAAAAACCUGUAUACUUUCCCAGAAAAUAGUAUAUAUACAUAUAUAUAUAUACGCAACAUCAAACUCAACUCAAUUUCAUCAACAUAAUAUCUCAAUAAUGACGUGCCAUGCCCAAAAUAUGAUCAAAAUACAUCAAUAUCAAUAAGGUGAAUGAUAAAUCAGCCGGAGACCCUACAAUGGUCCUGUACGGCUAAUUCUAAAGCUCAACAUCAAAUCUAACCGGAGUCACCUCGGUGACCUGUACGGUUCAACUCUGCACGUCACUCGGAACUACAUAUAGUAGUCUGUACGAUGACAGGUGUAUAAAUACGCUCUAGUGCUUCUCUCAUCAAUCAUCAGCGCGCAUAACUAAGGUCACCCACUAGUUGGAAUCACAUCUAGUAAUCUGCACGACUAGCAUGUCGGAACCCUCACAUGGUCUGUACGACAUCCACCUACUUGGAUCCAAGACGAGCGUGCGGUGUGGUGAAUAACAAUAUAAGCACUAUCACCUAGGUGCAGGUCAUGAGCUUUCAAUACAAUCCAUGAUAAAUAACUUAGCUGAAAAUAAAUAAACUCACCUGAGUGUCCACCGCGUCAUUUCACACAUAUAUAUAUAUGUUAAUUAUCAAACUAAAUAUCUCAACAGUUUCAUGCAUGGCAAAUAGAUUCAUAAUUUUCACAUAAACGGAUUUUCUGGGAAAAACAGUUGUAUAUAGGUAAAUACGAAAUCAAAACUGCCCACUCACUGAUAAGUCGAGGGGUCGUAACCCCCGUGGCGUCCCUGGAUGCGCUCGUCCUCGGGAUACGUGUCACCUAUAUGCGAAACAACUAUAAAAACGUUAAUUUUAAACACAUCACCAAUAAUUCGAAAUAACUUCUCAUACGGUGCUCAAUUUGGGUAUAUGAAUAUACCACAUCGAUCUACUCGACGUCACGGACGUCGCAUAAUUUUUAGAACAAUUUUUGGACUCUCCACGUGCCCUCACGCGCCGGCUAGGGCACGGCCCUACGCGCGGCCCACGCGCAGGUGCCCUAACGGAAGUCGCGGACGGCGUCAGGAAUAUUCCGUCAAAAGCUAACGGUUACCGUUAGGGUUAACUAACGGCGUUAGCAUAUUCCGUUAACUUUAACGGAAUAUGCCAUUGUCUUCUCCGGUGACUCGCCGGUCGCCGGUGACGUCGCCGGUUUCUGGGCAAAACUUCCAACUAUGGUUUCUCACUCAUUUUUCAACCAUUUUUCACGAAAUUGGUACCAAAAUGAAGCUCUAAGCAUAAGGAAUCACAUUACACCAAUUUCAAGGUCUAAAUUCCACUAAAUUUUACCUGAGGUAGUUCGAUAAUUCGGCCAACUUUGAAUUUCACGAUCCCGACGUCCAAAACUUCCCAACGAACGUCCCCGAGCUUCCUUAGGACCUCCUAAAGCUCACUGUGAGCUUGGAUUGUCCUAAAAAUCAACCAACAUAAAGUUCAUGAAUAGUGCCACAUUCGGUCCUCGGGUUUUAAACAUGAAAACGAAGGAGUUCUUACCUGAAAAUGGUAUCUUUGAGUUCGUAGGACACUCACGAACACGAUGGUACUAAUCUCCACGUCGAUCCAUGAAGUUUGGGGUGGUUUUGGUGUUGUCCGUACAGUUUUUGGGUGAGAGAGAGUGAGAGAGGGUCGUGAGGGAGGAGAGAGAAAGAGAGAGAGGCUACGGGAUGAGGAGAGAGAGAAAGGGGUUUUUGAUAUCCAACUCAAUCCACACCAUCCAAAUAAUCUCUAACCAAAUUAACAAAAUCAAUUUUUAAUAAGCCAACUUACUUAAAUAUAUAUUUCUUCCAAAACUUGACUAAUAUUUGAACCAAAUAUAAGGUCACAUACAUACGUACCUUAGUACCCGCCAAGGGUAAAAUCGUCCUUUCACGCUCCCAAUAUAUAAAUCCCGGGACGGGCUAUGACAAGAGGGGCGAAGAAAAAUUAGAAAGAAAUAGGGAGAGAGGGAUGAAGUAAAAUUAGGAAGAAAAAGGGGGAUCAACGGAAAAGAA